rnacentral:misc_RNA from 1 species
GAAGUGCGACAAGUGUCAUGACUUGCAGAUUCCCGAGAGCUGACAAAUUUCUGAAUGCAAAUGGCGGCCAUUAACACCGGCCAUGUGUUGCAGAGUGUAGUUGUUCCUACCGAUCAUCCCCCAAUCAGACAUGUCUCUGAUUGAGGAUUGGGAUCUGCGCUUGCGACGAACCUACGCGCGAGCGUGAAAAAUGGAGCGCCAAGCCGUUCACUCGGCUUGGCGACUUCGGAAGAUUUUUCUUCUAGGAGUUGAAUGCUCCAUCUACUUUCGACAGCCACCUCUGCGAUGCAGGAGAACCCGCUGAACUUAA